AUGACUCUCUUAAGAUAGCCAAAUGCCUUGUCAUCUAAUUAGUAAUGCGCAUGAAUGGAUUGAUGAGGUUCUUUCUGUCUCCACCU
rnacentral:rRNA from 1 species